UACGAAGGGGGCUAGCGUUGCUCGGAAUCACUGGGCGUAAAGGGCGCGUAGGCGGCCAUUCAAGUCGGGGGUGAAAGCCUGUGGCUCAACCACAGAAUUGCCUUCGAUACUGUUUGGCUUGAGUAUGGUAGAGGUUGGUGGAACUGCGAGUGUAGAGGUGAAAUUCGUAGAUAUUCGCAAGAACACCGGUGGCGAAGGCGAUCACCUGGGGUUGUUCUGACGCUGAGGAGCGAAAGCUAGGGGAGCAAACGGG
rnacentral:rRNA from 1 species